CCCUUAUACAUUUCUUAGGUACUCUCUCAUUCACAAAGGCUAUAAAUGCUUAACCCCUGAUGGUAAAACAAUCAUAUCAGGCAAUGUAACUUUUUCAGAAAAUGAAUUUCCCUUUAAAAAAAUCUGCCACCUCUGUCACCUAUAUAUUACUCUACUCUCAUGUUCCCUUUACCACCACAUACACUUAAUUCCUUUCCCAAUACCCUUUUACAGCCCCCACACAUUAUUCACCCUUCAUUAUCUCCUACACACAACCCCUCUGUUGCGGACCCUACCACUCCAAACUUUAAUUCAUCAUCAUCCCACAUAUAUUCUCAUAUCUCUACCCCCAUCACAACAACACCCACCAAUCUUCCCACUCCUAUGGAUCCCAC
rnacentral:lncRNA from 1 species